rnacentral:rRNA from 1 species
UUAAGUGACUAAGCGUACAAGGUGGAUGCCUUGGCAAUCAGAGGCGACGAAGGACGUGCUAAUCUGCGAAAAGCUUGGAUGAGUCGAUAAGAGGCGUUUAAUCCAAGAUGUCCGAAUGGGGAAACCCAGUAGAUGAAGAAUCUACUAUCACUUACUGAAUCCAUAGGUAAGUGAGGCAAACCGGGAGAACUGAAACAUCUAAGUACCCCGAGGAAAAGAAAUCAACCGAGAUUCCGCAAGUAGCGGCGAGCGAACGCGGAGAAGCCCAAUUAAGUUGCGUAUGAGCUAGUAGAACAUCCUGGGAAGGGUGGCCAUAGAGGGUGAUAGCCCCGUAUACGAAAGCCAUACACAAUGAAUCGAGUAGGGCGGGACACGUGAAAUCCUGUCUGAAGAUGGGGGGACCAUCCUCCAAGGCUAAAUACUCGUUGUCGACCGAUAGUGAACCAGUACCGUGAGGGAAAGGCGAAAAGAACCCUGGUGAAGGGAGUGAAAUAGAACCUGAAACCGUGUGCAUACAAGCAGUCAGAGCAUAUGAAGAUAUGUGAUGGCGUACCUUUUGUAUAAUGGGUCAGCGAGUUACAUUCAGUGGCGAGGUUAACCGAAUAGGGGAGCCGUAGCGAAAGCGAGUCUUAAUAGGGCGAUAAGUCUCUGGGUGUAGACCCGAAACCGGGCGAUCUAUCCAUGGGCAGGUUGAAGGUUGAGUAACAUCAACUGGAGGACCGAACCCACGCAUGUUGAAAAAUGCGGGGAUGACCUGUGGAUAGGAGUGAAAGGCUAAACAAGCUCGGAGAUAGCUGGUUCUCCCCGAAAACUAUUGAGGUAGUGCCUUGUAGAUUGACUUACGGGGGUAGAGCACUGUUUCGGCUAGGGGGUCAUACCGACUUACCAACCCGAUGCAAACUCCGAAUACCGUAAAGUUUUACUACAGGAGACACACGGCGGGUGCUAACGUCCGUCGUGAAGAGGGAAACAACCCAGACCGCCAGCUAAGGUCCCGAAAUGACAGUUCAGUGGGAAACGAAGUGGGAAGGCUUAGACAGCUAGGAGGUUGGCUUAGAAGCAGCCAUCCUUUAAAGAAAGCGUAAUAGCUCACUAGUCGAGUCGUCCUGCGCGGAAGAUUUACCGGGGCUAAACUGUCUACCGAAGCUGCGGAUUUGCAUGAAGAUGCAAGUGGUAGGGGAGCGUUGUGUAAGCCGAAGAAGGUGUGUUGAGAAGCAUGCUGGAGGUAUCACAAGUGCGAAUGCUGACAUGAGUAACGAUAAUGCGGGUGAAAAACCCGCACACCGAAAACCCAAGGUUUCCUGCGCAACGCUAAUCGGCGCAGGGUGAGUCGGCCCCUAAGGCGAGGCGGAAACGCGUAGUCGAUGGGAAACAGGUUAAUAUUCCUGUACUGAUCAUAAUUGCGAUGGGGGGACGGAGAAAGCUAGGCCAGCACACUGUUGGAUGUGUGUUUAAGCGCGUAGGUUGGGGACUUAGGCAAAUCCGGGUUCCUAAGACUGAAACGUGAUGACGAGUUUCUACGGAAACGAAGUGGUUGAUGCUCUGCUUCCAGGAAAAGCCUCUAAGCUUCAGAUUAUGACAACCGUACCCCAAACCGACACAGGUGGGUAGGAAGAGAAUUCCAAGGUGCUUGAGAGAACUCGGGUAAAGGAACUCGGCAAAAUGAUACCGUAACUUCGGGAUAAGGUAUGCCUCUGAUGGUGAAUAGCUGUUGGAGGCCGCAGAGAAUAGGCCGCUGCGACUGUUUAUCAAAAACACAGCACUCUGCAAACACGCAAGUGGACGUAUAGGGUGUGACGCCUGCCCGGUGCCGGAAGGUUAAUUGAUGGGGUGCAAGCUCUUGAUCGAAGCCCCGGUAAACGGCGGCCGUAACUAUAACGGUCCUAAGGUAGCGAAAUUCCUUGUCGGGU